CGUUGAACGAUCAUAAGUUUUCAUCGGUUGCGGUGAGCGACUCGAUUCAUGCGGCUAUUCAAAACCUACAAGAUUAGUCCAUCUUGUACAGGUCUGGUCUUCUGCAGUUUCAUCACUAGAGACAUGGAGAGAUUUCAAGAUAAGGACGACAGAUUUAGAACUUUUUACUUCGAAGAAUCUGGAUGUAACUUAUAGUUUCUUAGGGAUCUUUGUUAUGGAUUUUUAUUUCAGUUUUCUCGAUACUUUGUACUCUGUUUAUUGGAUCAAAGGCAGAUAUUUUUUUUUUAAAAGGACUAUUGGUCCUGUACGAGUACGAGCCAGAGAGAAAUUCAACAACUUAUAAAAGGACUGGAAGCAGUUAAAAAAGGACUGCAAGAGAAAGGAAAAUAAAUGCCAAAGCGCGUCGCCGAGCUCCACCUCACUGACCCAUGG
rnacentral:lncRNA from 1 species